CCUACGGGUGGCUGCAGUGAGGAAUAUUCGUCAAUGGGAGAGAUCCUGAACCAGCCAAGCCGCGUGAGGGAAGACGGCCCUAUGGGUUGUAAACUUCUUUUGACAGGGCAGAGCAGAAGGCGGUACAUGUCGAAUAAGCCACGGCUAACUACGUGCCAGCAGCCGCGGUAAUACGUAGGUGGCAAGCGUUGUCCGGAUUUACUGGGUGUAAAGGGCAUGUAGCCGGGCUGACAAGUCAGAUGUGAAAUCCGGGGGCUCAACCGCCGAACUGCAUUUGAAACUGGUGGUCUUGAGUUUCGGAGAGGCGGGCGGAAUUCCUAGUGUAGCGGUGAAAUGCGUAGAUAUAAGGAGGAACACCAGUGGCGAAGGCGGCCUGCUGGACGACAACUGACGGUGAGGCGCGAAAGCGUGGGGAGCAAACAGGAUUAGAUACCCGAGUAGUC
rnacentral:rRNA from 1 species